rnacentral:rRNA from 1 species
CUUUACUGUAGCCUGGUAUUGGGUUCGGGCUUUGACUGCGCAGGAUAGGUGGGAGACUAUGAAGCUGCCCUUGUGGGGGCAGUGGAGUCAUCAGUGAGAUACCACUCUGUCAAGGCUAGAAUUCUAACCGUCUGCCGUUGUCCGGCGACGGAACAGUAUCAGGUGGGCAGUUUGACUGGGGCGGUCGCCUCCUAAAUGGUAACGGAGGCGCGCAAAGGUUCCCUCAGGCUGGUUGGAAAUCAGCCGAAGAGUGUAAAGGCAGAAGGGAGCUUGACUGCAAGAGCAACAACUCAAGCAGGGACGAAAGUCGGCCUUAGUGAUCCGACGGCGCUGAGUGGAAGGGCCGUCGCUCAACGGAUAAAAGUUA